UCAAAUCCGUUGGGGUGCCCCGUUGAGGGCUGAGAGGCGCGAGUCAACCCAUCGAACCUGAUCCGGGCAAUACCGGCGUAGGAAACGGAGAUCGAUCUGGC
rnacentral:ncRNA from 1 species